UCACUGGUGUUCGGGUUGUCAUGCCAAUGGCAUUGCCCGGUAGCUAAAUGCGGAAAAGAUAAGCGCUGAAAGCAUCUAAGCGCGAAACUUGCCUCGAGAUGAGUCUUCCCUGUGGCUUUAAGCCACCUGAAGGGACGUUUAAGACUAAGACGUUGAUAGGCUGGGUGUGUAAGUGCAGCGAUGCAUUGAGCUAACCAGUACUAAUGACCCGAGAGGCUUAACCUUACAACACCAAAGGUGUUU
rnacentral:rRNA from 1 species